rnacentral:tRNA from 1 species
CAGGAUAUAAUUUAAAGUAGAAUGUUAGUUUUGGGGAUUAACUGUGAGAGUUAAAUUCUCUUUAUCCUGA